rnacentral:rRNA from 1 species
GAUGAACGCUGGCGGCGUGCCUAAUACAUGCAAGUCGAGCGAACGGACGAGAAGCUUGCUUCUCUGAUGUUAGCGGCGGACGGGUGAGUAACACGUGGAUAACCUACCUAUAAGACUGGGAUAACUUCGGGAAACCGGAGCUAAUACCGGAUAAUAUUUUGAACCGCAUGGUUCAAAAGUGAAAGACGGUCUUGCUGUCACUUAUAGAUGGAUCCGCGCUGCAUUAGCUAGUUGGUAAGGUAACGGCUUACCAAGGCAACGAUGCAUAGCCGACCUGAGAGGGUGAUCGGCCACACUGGAACUGAGACACGGUCCAGACUCCUACGGGAGGCAGCAGUAGGGAAUCUUCCGCAAUGGGCGAAAGCAUGACGGAGCAACGCCGCGUGAGUGAUGAAGGUCUUCGGAUCGUAAAACUCUGUUAUUAGGGAAGAACAUAUGUGUAAGUAACUGUGCACAUCUUGACGGUACCUAAUCAGAAAGCCACGGCUAGCUACGUG